UGGGAUUAAAAACAUGUACCACCCUGCCUG
rnacentral:piRNA from 1 species